UACAGAGGUCCCAAGCGUUGUUCGGAUUCAUUGGGCGUAAAGGGCGCGUAGGCGGCAAGGCAAGUCGGGUGUGAAAGCUUGGGGCUUAACCCCGAAAGGGCACUCGAAACUGCCCUGCUAGAGGGCCGGAGAGGAGAUCGGAAUUCACGGUGUAGCAGUGAAAUGCGUAGAGCUCGUGAGGAAGACCGGUGGCGAAGGCGGAUCUCUGGACGGCCCCUGACGCUGAGGCGCGAAGGCUAGGGGGAGCAAACGGGG
rnacentral:rRNA from 1 species